rnacentral:rRNA from 1 species
UACGUAGGCAGCAAGCGUUGUUCGGAGUUACUGGGCGUAAAGGGCGCGUAGGCGGCCCGCUAAGUCGAACGUGAAAUCCCCAGGCUCAACCUGGGAACUGCGUCCGAUACUGGCAGGCUUGAAUCCGGGAGAGGGAUGUGGAAUUCCAGGUGUAGCGGUGAAAUGCGCAGAUAUCGGGAGGAACACCGGUGGCGAAGGCGGUUCUCUGGGCCUGUACUGACGCUGAGGAGCGAAAGCGUGGGGAGCGAACAGG